GUCGACGAACUCUGGUAUUGAUUGGUGCUUGCAUCAUGAUUUACAUUUGAGUGAGUGGCGAACUGGUGAGUAACACGUGGGAAACCUGCCCAGAAGCGGGGGAUAACACCUGGAAACAGAUGCUAAUACCGCAUAACAACUUGGACCGCAUGGUCCGAGUUUGAAAGAUGGCUUCGGCUAUCACUUUUGGAUGGUCCCGCGGCGUAUUAGCUAGAUGGUGAGGUAACGGCUCACCAUGGCAAUGAUACGUAGCCGACCUGAGAGGGUAAUCGGCCACAUUGGGACUGAGACACGGCCCAAACUCCUACGGGAGGCAGCAGUAGGGAAUCUUCCACAAUGGACGAAAGUCUGAUGGAGCAACGCCGCGUGAGUGAAGAAGGGUUUCGGCUCGUAAAACUCUGUUGUUAAAGAAGAACAUAUCUGAGAGUAACUGUUCAGGUAUUGACGGUAUUUAACCAGAAAGCCACGGCUAACUACGUGCCAGCAGCCGCGGUAAUACGUAGGUGGCAAGCGUUGUCCGGAUUUAUUGGGCGUAAAGCGAGCGCAGGCGGUUUUUUAAGUCUGAUGUGAAAGCCUUCGGCUCAACCGAAGAAGUGCAUCGGAAACUGGGAAACUUGAGUGCAGAAGAGGACAGUGGAACUCCAUGUGUAGCGGUGAAAUGCGUAGAUAUAUGGAAGAACACCAGUGGCGAAGGCGGCUGUCUGGUCUGUAACUGACGCUGAGGCUCGAAAGUAUGGGUAGCAAACAGGAUUAGAUACCCUGGUAGUCCAUACCGUAAACGAUGAAUGCUAAGUGUUGGAGGGUUUCCGCCCUUCAGUGCUGCAGCUAACGCAUUAAGCAUUCCGCCUGGGGAGUACGGCCGCAAGGCUGAAACUCAAAGGAAUUGACGGGGGCCCGCACAAGCGGUGGAGCAUGUGGUUUAAUUCGAAGCUACGCGAAGAACCUUACCAGGUCUUGACAUACUAUGCAAAUCUAAGAGAUUAGACGUUCCCUUCGGGGACAUGGAUACAGGUGGUGCAUGGUUGUCGUCAGCUCGUGUCGUGAGAUGUUGGGUUAAGUCCCGCAACGAGCGCAACCCUUAUUAUCAGUUGCCAGCAUUAAGUUGGGCACUCUGGUGAGACUGCCGGUGACAAACCGGAGGAAGGUGGGGAUGACGUCAAAUCAUCAUGCCCCUUAUGACCUGGGCUACACACGUGCUACAAUGGAUGGUACAACGAGUUGCGAACUCGCGAGAGUAAGCUAAUCUCUUAAAGCCAUUCUCAGUUCGGAUUGUAGGCUGCAACUCGCCUACAUGAAGUCGGAAUCGCUAGUAAUCGCGGAUCAGCAUGCCGCGGUGAAUACGUUCCCGGGCCUUGUACACACCGCCCGUCACACCAUGAGAGUUUGUAACACCCAAAGUCGGUGGGGUAACCU
rnacentral:rRNA from 2 species